rnacentral:rRNA from 1 species
GACGAACGCUGGCGGCGUGCUUAACACAUGCAAGUCGAACGGUAAGGCCCUUCGGGGUACACGAGUGGCGAACGGGUGAGUAACACGUGGUGAUCUGCCCUGCACUUCGGGAUAAGCCUGGGAAACUGGGUCUAAUACCGGAUAGGACCAUGGACUUCACGGUUUGUGGUGGAAAGCUUUUGCGGUGUGGGAUGGGCCCGCGGCCUAUCAGCUUGUUGGUGGGGUAAUGGCCUACCAAGGCGACGACGGGUAGCCGGCCUGAGAGGGCGUCCGGCCACACUGGGACUGAGAUACGGCCCAGACUCCUACGGGAGGCAGCAGUGGGGAAUAUUGCACAAUGGGCGCAAGCCUGAUGCAGCGACGCCGCGUGAGGGAUGACGGCC